rnacentral:misc_RNA from 1 species
GCAUGAUGAUUUCAUACUAAUAACUGUCCAUAUGUUUGUUCAUGUGCACAAGUCACUAUCUGAAUGAAGCAAAGUGGAAUCUGUAUUUGCGACCAGCAAUACAAUCACAAAGAAAUAGAUAAUAUGGACAAGUAAACCUUCCAUACACAUCACAUAAUUUUAUGACUAUAUUAAGGUUCACAAAACCUUAGGAUUUCGGCGUUUAGAAGCUGGAAUCAGACAUGGAUAAAUAUGAACUUAUUAAAGAAG